UGGGGAAUCUUGCGCAAUGCGCGAAAGCGUGACGCAGCAACGCCGCGUGGGGGAAGAAGGCCUUCGGGUCGUAAACCCCUUUCAGUUGGGACGAAGCUUCGCGGGUUAAUAGCCUGCUGGAGUGACGGUACCUUCAGAAGAAGCCCCGGCUAACUACGUGCCAGCAGCCGCGGUAAUACGUAGGGGGCUAGCGUUGUCCGGAAUCAUUGGGCGUAAAGCGCGUGUAGGCGGUCCGGUAAGUCCGCUGUGAAAGUCGGGGGCUCAACCCUCGGAUGCCGGUGGAUACUGUCGGGCUUGAGUACGGAAGAGGCGAGUGGAAUUCCUGGUGUAGCGGUGAAAUGCGCAGAUAUCAGGAGGAACACCAAAUUGCGAAGGCAGCUCGCUGGGACGUUACUGACGCUGAGACGCGAAAGCGUGGGGAGCAAACAGGAUUAGAUACCCUGGUAGUCCACGCUGUAAACGAUGGGCACUAGGUGUGGGGGGUGUCGGACUCCCUCCGUGCCGAAGCU
rnacentral:rRNA from 1 species